rnacentral:lncRNA from 1 species
AGAGGCCUCUGCUCUGCCAGCCUGGGAGUCAUCUUCACCCUCAGGCUGGUAGACUCCAGUCUCUUAGGUCAGAAUGGGAUUAGAGACCCGUUCCUGAACCAGUCACACACAGCGGGUGAAACUGCUAUGAUUGGUUUAGACUUAGAGACUGGAAUGGAUGCUGGCCUAGAAGCGAAGACACAUAGAAGCAAUGUGUACCUAGACUGUUGUCCUAAAUGCCAUUUCCUACCAGGAAGGAACCAGAGUCUUUGCAGAAAUGUAUCAUUUCACAUCUGGGUAAGGAAAUGUCUGAGAAGGAUCAGAUAUAUUGUGGGUCAGAAAGCAACGGAGCUGUCAAAGUGAACUCAUGCAACGGUAUCAAAAGGAUUCAAAAGAAUUC